rnacentral:rRNA from 1 species
UACGGGGGGGGCGAGCGUUGUUCGGAAUUACUGGGCGUAAAGGGUUUGUAGGUGGCCUGCUAAGUCAGACGUGAAAUCCCUCAGCUUAACUGGGGAACUGCGUCUGAUACUGGCGGGCUUGAGGACAGGAGAGGAACGCGGAAUUCCAGGUGUAGCGGUGAAAUGCGUAGAUAUCAGGAGGAACACCGGUGGUGUAAACGGCUUUCUGGACCAUAACUGACGCUGAGGCACGAAAGCGUGGGUAGCAAACAGG